rnacentral:RNase_P_RNA from 2 species
GAAGCUCACCAGACCGCCGCUGGCGCAAGUCCCGAAAGGGCGCGCUGGAGGAACGUCCGGACUGCACAGGGCAGCGCAGCAGCUAACGGCUGUCCACCGUGAGGUGAGGAUCAGAGCAACAGAGACGAGCCGAUUGAGUUCGGGUGAAACGGGCAAUCUCUGCGCGCAGCAACACCAAGUAGGCCAGCGUUGACUUGACCCGAGGAGCUGGCGGGUAGGUGGCACCGAGCCGUCCGGGCGACCGGCGGCCCAGAUUGAUGGCGGUCACGUGCCGGGCAACCGGUGCGCACAGAAUCCGGCGUAUCGGUGGGCUUCACUU